CAGUCGCCACGGUAAUACGUAGGUGGCAAGCGUUGUCCGGAAUUAUUGGGCGUAAAGGGCUCGCAGGCGGUUUCUUAAGUCUGAUGUGAAAGCCCCCGGCUCAACCGGGGAGGGUCAUUGGAAACUGGGAAACUUGAGUGCAGAAGAGGAGAGUGGAAUUCCACGUGUAGCGGUGAAAUGCGUAGAGAUGUGGAGGAACACCAGUGGCGAAGGCGACUCUCUGGUCUGUAACUUACGCUGAGGAGCGAAAGCGUGGGGAGCGAACAGGAUUAGAUACCCCCGUAGUCCCUGUCUCUUAUAC
rnacentral:rRNA from 1 species